GGGUACUCCUCUCUACUA
rnacentral:tRNA from 1 species